CGGAUGCCGACGAGUGCGAACGGGUGAGUAAUAUAUCGGAACGUCGCCCAGUAGGUGGGGGAAUAACUGCUACGAAAGAGCAGCUAACUACCGCAUACGACCUGGAGGGUAGAAGGGGGGGAUCGCAAGACCUCUCGCUAUUGGAGCGGCCGAUAUCAGAUUAGCUAGUUGGUGGGGUAAAGGCCUACCAAGGCUACGAUCUGUAGUUGGUCUGGGAGGACGACCAGCCACACUGGGACUGAGACACGGCCCAGACUCCUACGGGAGGCAGCAGUGGGGAAUUUUGGACAAUGGGCGCAAGCCCGAUCCAGCAAUGCCGCGUGAGUGAUGAAGGCCCUCGGGUCGUAAAGCUCUGUGGAGAGGGACGAAAACCCUGGUUUCAAAUAGGCUCCAGGCUUGACGGUACCUCUUUAGCAAGCACCGGCUAACUCUGUG
rnacentral:rRNA from 1 species